AAUCUCUUUCAUUCUUUCUCUCUCCACACAUACUCUCAUUCGAUCUGAGUAAUCUAAGAUAAAAAAAAGUUAAUCCUUGCAGAACCUUUACUCACCACGAACUUGAAGACUUAAGGUCUCUCUUCGAUUCGCUUGCUGCCAAGUCUCAGAGCAAUGCCCAAUACAUCUCUCCCUCUGUUUUUCAGUCAUAUUUUAGACUCCAUGUCCCGCUUGGGGAUAGAAUGUUCCAUUUAGUUACUCAAGAGCGCAAGGAUCAGCAUUUAACUUUUGAAGACCUCGUUGUUGCUAAGGCUACAUACAAGAAAGGAACAAGAGAUGACAUUGAAGAAUUCAUAUUUCGCUUAUUGGAUGUAAAUGGGGAUAAAUUUGU